rnacentral:rRNA from 1 species
UGAGGAAUCUUGCGCAAUGGGGGCAACCCUGACGCAGCAACGCCGCGUGAGUGAGGAAGGUCUUCGGAUCGUAAAGCUCUGUCGGGUGGGAAGAAACCUAUGGAAGCUAAUACCUUUCAUACUUGACGGUACCACCAAAGGAAGCACCGGCUAACUCCGUGCCAGCAGCCGCGGUAAUACGGGGGGUACAAGCGUUGUUCGGAAUCAUUGGGCGUAAAGGGCGUGUAGGCGGCUUGGUAAGUCAGAUGUGAAAGCCCUGGGCUUAACCCAGGAAGUGCAUUUGAAACUGUCAGGCUUGAGUAGGGAAGAGGAAGGUGGAAUUCCUGGUGUAGAGGUGAAAUUCGUAGAUAUCAGGAGGAACACCGGUGGCGAAGGCGACCUUCUGGUCCUAUACUGACGCUGAGACGCGAAAGCAUGGGUAGCAAACAGGAUUAGAUACCCUGGUAGUCCAUGCCGUAAACGAUGUUCACUAGGUGUUGGGAGUAUUGACCCUCUCAGUGCCGAA